rnacentral:misc_RNA from 1 species
UACGUAGGGGGAAAGCGUUGUCCGGAAUUAUGGGGCGUAAAGCGCGCGCAUGCGGUUUCUUAAGUCUGAUGUGAAAGCCCACGGCUUAACCGUGGAGGGUCAUUGGAAACUGGGGAACUUUAGUACAGAAGAGGAGAGUGGAAUUCCACGUGUAGCGGUGAAAUGCGUAGAGAUGUGGAGGAACACCAGUGGCGAAGGCUACUCUCUGGUCUGUAACUGACGCUGAGGUGCGAAAGCGUGGGGAGCGAACAGG